rnacentral:misc_RNA from 1 species
UCAAACUUGGUCAUUUAGAGGAAGUAAAAGUCGUAACAAGGUUUCCGUAGGUGAACCUGCGGAAGGAUCAUUAAUGAAGUUAAGGGUACUUUUACUAGGCCCGACCUUUAUUUUCUAACCCUGUGCACUUCAAAAACUUGAGGUUUCGGUGAUUACUCUUCGGAUGAAAGCCCUAGCUUCUCGUUUUUCACUUAUUCAUAAACAUCAGUCAAUGAAUGUAAAACAAAACAUAACAAAAAAAAACUUUCAACAACGGAUCUCUUGGCUCUCGCAUCGAUGAAGAACGCAGC